CCAGUCCCUCCUCCCCGCAGGGGCUUUGGGGUGGGGAUUUGGGGAUUUGGGAUGGCCUGAUCCCGGUGCUCCCAGUGCUCCCAGUUCCUCAUCCCCACAGGGGCUUUGGGGUGAGGAUUUGGGGAUUUGGGAUCCCCUGAUCCCGGUGCUCCCUCCCCCUUUGGGGGUGCUGGCCCGGUGCUCCCGUGCUCCCGUUCCUCACCAGGGGCUGGGGUGAGGGGGGGGGGGGGGGGCCCCCCCCGCCCCCCCCCGCCCCCCCCCCUCCCCCCCGAGGGAGAGGGUGAGCGUGGCUCCGUGGGCGAGCGGGGUCUGCCGGGAAUGCCAGGACAGCCGGGACCCCCAGGACACCCAGGACCACCGGUGAGCACAGCAGGACCCUGCACCCCGGAGCGUGGGGACCUCGGGGGUGGCCCCGUGGUGUCACCACCUCACACUGUCCCUUUUGUCCCCAUAGGGAGAGCAGGGACCGGACGGACCCGUUGGGAAGGAGGGACCCCCAGGAAAACCGGGCAUUGCGGGCCCGGCCGGACAGAAGGUGAGGCUGUGCCAGCUGCCAGUGCCACCACGGCCACCACGCUGUCCCAGCACACCAGGGCUGACCUUUCCCAUCCACAGGGUGACGCUGGAGCCCCCGGCGAGCGCGGCUACCCCGGCGAGAAGGGCAGAGCUGGGAUGCCGGGCGGGCCGGGCAAAAGCGGCUCCAUGGGGCUGGUGGGGCCGCGGGGCCCCGCAGGAGAGAGGGGACCCCCGGGCUCGCCCGGCCCCGCGGGCAGCCCCGGCCUGCCGGGACCCCCGGGCAUGGUGGUAAGGACAGUGGGUGGCCCUGGCGGGGGGCAGGAUGAUGUCCUUGUGGUGGCCGUGUCCCCUCGAGUGUCCAAUCGUGUGUCCCCUUGGGUGUCCCCUCCUGUGUCCCUUCGUGUGUCCUCUCGUGUGUCCCCUCAUGUCCCCUUGUGUGUCCCUUGUGUGUCCCCUCCCGUGUCCCCUCCCGUGUCCCUCCUGUGUCCCCCUCGUGUCCCCACAGGGAGAUGUGGUGAAUUACGACGAGAUCAAGCGCUUCAUCCGCCAGGAGCUGAACAAGAUGUUCGACGGUAACUGAGCGUGGUGACAAGGCCUGGGGACCCUCCCCGUGUCCCCACCCUGUCCCCGCCGGCUGAGCUCCGUUUUUGUC
rnacentral:lncRNA from 1 species